AUAACAAUGCAAGUCAGAACGGAAAUUUUCGGAUUUUAGUGGCAGAACGGGUGAGUAACACGUAAGCAACCUGCCUUUAAGACGAGGAUAACAAUUGGAAACAGUUGCUAAGACUGGAUAGGAAAUAAAAAGGCAUCUUUUUAUUUUUAAAAGACCUUUUUCGGAAGGUAUGCUUAAAGAGGGGCUUGCGUCACAUUAGUUAGUUGGCAGGGUAAAGGCCUACCAAGACUAUGAUGUGUAGCUGGACUGAGAGGUUGAACAGCCACAUUGGGACUGAGACACGGCCCAAACUCCUACGGGAGGCAGCAGUAGGGAAUUUUCGGCAAUGGAGGAAACUCUGACCGAGCAACGCCGCGUGAACGAUGAAGUAUUUCGGUAUGUAAAAUUCUUUUUUAUU
rnacentral:misc_RNA from 1 species